CAGUGCUCACUUCCAUAUUACUAAAAUUAGAACAAUGCAGAGAAGAUUAACAUGGCCCCUGGGCAAGGAUGGCAUGCAGAUUUGUGAAGUGUUCCGUAUUUCU
ensembl:snRNA U6 U6 spliceosomal RNA